GACCCAUUACGUUAGAUAAAAGUCUUUUUUUACUCUAAACUCUAAGUCCCAUCAAUAGUAUCUCUCUCUCUCAGAUCUCUUCGACCUCAGCCUUGGUGAUUAAAAUCACAGCACUGUAGCAACUAUUUCCACCGUCGUACCGUAUUUUCAGUCCAUUCUGUUGCGAUAGUUCAUUUGGAAUAAAUUUUUAGGAGCAUGGCUGAUUUGGAGCUACUUACUUGGUUGUGUGCGAAUAAAUAAGAACCGGCUCGUAAUAGAAUGAACCAGAGCAUUUAAUAAAGGUCAUUUCAUUCCUUUUUGCCAAAAAAAUUGAUGGUUCUAUCACACGCGUAUAGUUGCGUAACCACCUGGGUUUUCCAUAAUUCUUUUGAAACUGAAGGCCAUUAAUAACGCUUUAUUUUUUUUCCGUGUAAGACAAAAUCGCCUUUUAUUGAUUCCAUAAUUUGAUGCUCUGUUUUUGUGUCUACGCUAAUCAACCCUUGAUUUUUUUUUCCUUUUCUAAUGUUCUAUAUACUAGAUGAAUACCCACGCUACGCGUGGGUUUGUUUUAAAAGUUGUUAAUAACAAAUUAUUUUGAUUGUU